rnacentral:rRNA from 1 species
CCUUGUACACACCGCCCGUCACGCCAUGGAAGUUGGGGGACCUGAAGCCGGUGGGCUAACCCGCAACGGGAGGCAGCCGUCAAAGGUCAAUCCAAUGACUGGGCG